rnacentral:rRNA from 1 species
GUAGGGGGCGAGCGUUGUCCGGAUUCAUUGGGCGUAAAGAGCUCGUAGGCGGCUUGGCAAGUCGGGUGUGAAAACUCCAGGCUCAACCUGGAGACGCCACCCGAUACUGCCAUGGCUAGAGUCCGGUAGGGGACCACGGAAUUCCUGGUGUAGCGGUGAAAUGCGCAGAUAUCAGGAGGAACACCAGUGGCGAAGGCGGUGGUCUGGGCCGGAACUGACGCUGAGGAGCGAAAGCGUGGGGAGCGAACAGGAUUAGAUACCCUGGUAGUCCACGCCGUAAACGUUGGGCACUAGGUGUGGGGACCCAUCGACGGUCUCCGUGCCGUAGCUAACGCAUUAAGUGCCCCGCCUGGGGAGUACGGCCGCAAGGCUA